rnacentral:tRNA from 1 species
AUUUAAAUAGUUUAAAGUUAAAAUUUAAUAUUGAAAAUAUUAAGAUGAAUAUUUAUAAAAUUUAGUUCUUUAAAUA